rnacentral:lncRNA from 1 species
AAGAGGGAGGCCCAAUUUGCUCAGGACCCCCGAGGCCUGGAGAUUGGGGUGACAGCCCUUAUUGGUGUCACUGAAACGUGUGUGGUUAAUCUCAGUCCUUGGGAUCCACAUAAAACCACGUGAAUGUGCUUCUCAUCUAAUAAAUUAUAUAUGAAGGAUGCUGAAAGCAGGGCCUUGGAGAGAGAUGUGUGUACCCGUGUUCACAGUUCACAGCAGCAUUCCUCCAGUUACCAAGAGGUGGAAGCAACCCAAAGUCCAUCGAUGGAAAAAUGGUAAGCAGAUAUAGUAUGAAUAGAUACAGACAGUGGGAUAUUAUUCUGCUUUAGAAAGGAAGGAAAUUCUGAUACAUACCACCGCAUGGAUGCACCUUGAGGACAUUAUGCUGAGUGAAAUGAGCCAGUCACAAAAGACAAAUAUUGCAUGAUUCUAUGUAUGUGAGGUCCCUAGAGUAGUAAUAGAGACAGAAAGUGCAAUGGUGGUGGCCAGUGAUUUCAAGGAGAGCGGAAAGGAGAGUUACUGUUUAAUGGGUGCAGAGUUUCCAUUUUAAAUGACAAAAAGUUCUAGAGAUAUGUGGCACAACAGUGUGAAUUGCUCAAUGCUACUGAACUGUACACUUAAAAAUGGUUCAGAUGGGCCAGGUGUGUACAGGCUCACACCUGUAAUCCCAGAACUUUGGGAGGCCCAGGUGGGCAGAUCACCUGAGAUCAGGAGCUCAAGACCAGCCUGGACAACAUGGCGAAACCCCCGUCUCUACAAAAAUAGAAAAAUUAGCUGGGCAUGAUGGUGGAUACUUGUAAUCCCAGCUACCUGGGAGGCUGAGGUGGGAGAAUUGCUUGAACCCAGUAGGCGGAGGUUGCAGUGAGUCGAGAUCGCGCCACUGCACUCCACAGAGUGAGACUGUCUCAAAAAAAAAAAAAAAAAAAAAGGUUAAGAUGGUAAAUUCUAUGUUAUAUGGUUUUAUUACAAUAAAAAAGUGAGCAUCAUAGUGAUAGUAAAAUCUGACAAAUUGCAUGAGUGAAAAUUACAGACAAAACCUAUUUGUGAGUAUUGAUGCACUAACUACACUCAAAGAAUAACAUACAACAAUGGUUAAAAUGAUAAACUUUAUGUUGUGCAUAUUUUAGCACAAUUUUAAAAAGCCUUCUGAGUUCUUUACUCUCUGACAAAAAUCCUCAGAGGCUGAGCAGGACACAGGGAAGACGGCCAGGGAAAUCCCAGACUGGCACUGCCAGAAGCUUCCAGCCCAUUCCAUCAGGGCACAGCCUGGGAUGGGCUGGGUCCCCAGAGCUGUGCAUGCUGCCAGGAUGCUGAAGACACAUGGUUCAGCUUGGCCCCUAGAUGGUGACCAUCUGUCUAGGCCCUCAGUAAGAGAAAGGGGACCCUCCAUUCCUCAAUGUGGGGGCCUUGAUCCUUAAACAGGGGCUGUCUUUGUUUCCUGAGAGGCCAGAGGCAAAAUGAAAAAGCACAAAUGGAUAACAGAACCCAAAAUAUAAAUUCUGAAGGGCAACAUCUAGUUUCUCUGUAGGAUGGGACAGGGUAGGUCUUCUCUUCUCCUUCCUCUCCUGCUAAUGAGAUUCCCCUUAUGAAAUCCUUGCAAACUGCACCUGCUCCCAUCCUUCUUAAUAAGUCACCCGAAUGAUUGCACAGAAGCCAUGUAGCAUAAUUUUUCAAAUCUCUGCUUUUCUGAUCCAGCCUAAAGGGCAUGACUGGGUUGACACUCCAGUGAAGGCAAAGUUUCCACCACAUGUGUCCCUGGGACCUCUCAUUCUCAUCUAUAAACCCAGAACACUACGACCCCCCCUCCCACAGCAAGAAGCUAAACCUUGAUGAAAAAAUGUCUUAAUAACUGGUCUUUGUCAUCAUUCAAAAUAAUCAAAAUGGACCAAAUGAUGACCUGAACGUCAGAUCAUUGUAUCAAUAAUUUUACAUUUUUUCUUUUUUUAAAAAAAAUUUUCUUUAAAAUUUUUUUUUAAAUUUUAAGUUCUGGGAUACAUGGGCUGAAUGUGCAGGUUUGUUACAUAGGUAUACAUGUGCCAUGGUGGUUUGCUGCACCUAUCAAUCCAUUAUCUAGGUUUAACCCCUGCAUGCAUUAGGUAUUUGUCCUAAUGCUCUCCCUCCCCUUUCCCCCCAUGUGGAACAAAAAAAGAGCCCUUAUAGCCAAGAUAAUCCUAAGCAAAAAGAACAAAGCUGGAGGCAUCAUGCUACCUGACUAUACUACAUCAAACUAUACUACAAGGCUACAGUAACCAAAAGAGCAUGGUACUGGUAUCAAAACAGACAUAUAGACCAAUGGAACAGAACAGAGGCCUCAGAAAUAACACCACACAUCUAUAACCAUCUGAUCUUUGACAAACCUGACAUCUUUUCUUUUAAAAGAAAGAUAGGAAGUUCCUGGAUGGACAUAGGUCUAUGAGAUGAGACCCACAAAAUGUUUCUACUUCCAAAAUUGCUCUAAAAUUACAGUGCAAAUAUAUCCUGCUUUCUAUUACAAUAUUUCAACAAUGAAACGGACUUUGGAAAAUGUGAAAAUGCUUUGUUCCUUGUGGGAGACCUUGAAUGAGCACCCCUCAUUAGGGGAGCUUCUGGGUGGGAAUUACAUGAAGCAGACGCCCCAAAGGUGGUGGGGAGAGAGAACAAACUCUGAAAUACCACUCUGCUUCCAGUGGUAGCUGGGCUGAUAGCCCUCUGUUGUCAAUUACAAACAAAGCCCAGCUUGUAUCCGAUUGCAAAAUAAUACAUAUUCAUUGUUAAAAACAUGAAACCUUGGAAAAUAUAGACGGCCACAAAGAGUCUAUUUCUUUUUAAUUCAGUGUUUUAUCUUCUUUGGGUUUUUUUUUUCCUUUGGAAAAACAAAAAAAGGUUUUCAAAAGAGCCCUAUUUCCAGAUUAUCAAUAAGGAAUAAAAGACCUCUUCCGACAGUUUCAGGAAGCUAUGCCAGGACACAGCAAGAAAGGUAUUCUCAGAGGAAAGAUAACACGACGUCCUAUUGCUGGGCACACCAGAAAAUGGGAAAGGUGUGUGCCUCCCAGAGAAUACUCUGAAAAACAAGUAGAGCCAGACUCCUGCCUGGAGCCUCUGAGAUGCAGACCUCAUGCGGCGCCCCACUCUGCCUUGCAGACACGGUCAGUGUUCUCAGUCUGAAGGACAUAUUAUUUUAUUGCUUUGAGGGCUCCUCAAGGAAAUCCAAAUAUCUGAGAGAACCUUCUUUGUGAAGGAUGACGCACAAGUCUGUUUGCCUCCACCCCAUCCUGAGCGGAGGUGGCCCCAAGGCCAGUUUCCUGCCCUGGCCUGCGUGCCUGGCUGGGCAACUUUGUUCUGUUUUCAGGAACCCUUUUGGAGACACUUCAGUUCACUAGGACAGGCACGCUCUGCAUCCCAGGACCAGCUCCAGCUCAGGAUCUGGGAUGAAGUCCAAAAAAACCUCCUGAGGUUGCGGGGGGAAGAGUCACAGUCACCACUUGAUGACAGAGUAGCAUCAACCCUGGGGUCUUAGGCACGGGGAAACCCUGUCUCUUGGGAGCUGAAAUCCCCUUGCACUUCUACCCAUUACCAGGAAACACAAAGGAACCUGGAUAUUAAGGAUAUAGCUCAAAAUCGUGUAUGGGAGAGGGAGGAGUGGGUCUUUGAGGACAGCGACGGGAGAGGGAGGAGCGGGGCUUUGAGGACAGCGACGGGAGAGGGAGGAGCGGGGCUUUGAGGACAGCAAAUGCAAAUGCUGUGGAGACAACACUUAAGGGCUUGUGGCCGUGGAGCACAGGGCAGAGCCUCCAAGUCCACGAAAUUCCUCCAGCCUUCCAGUGCAAAGGGAGCUCUAGUGAGGUUUCAUUUUCUGCCCUAAUACAUGUUUUGCCAAAACUCCUUCAAGAUGAGUAAAAUGGACAGGUUUAUGUUCCUCUGGAGGACCAGAAAAAUGGCGCCACUGUCAAUGGCAGGUUAAAUCCAUGUAGUCAGUGCUUCGACAGCCAAGAGCUGGCUACACAGUCUUCCAACAUGGGCCCCACAUAAUUAAUUACACAUGGAUGAUAUCAUUAUUUCCGAAAGAGAGGGACACACGCCUCCAUUCUUUUAGGUUGUAUACAGACACAAAAAUCAAUAACACGGGCUCUCACUGUAAAGAAGCUAUUCCCCGCUGAAUCAUUUUUCAAUCCUGAUUCUGACAAGGAAAAAGAGAAGUCCCAGAUUUUCUGACUGUGCAUUUCACACUUCUUGAAUGUCUACUUCAAUCAAGAAAUGUCUGGACCUGGGCUCCAAAACCAUCAGCAGGCCACGAUAUCCAUCUGCAACUGAGAAACGUUUCGUUUUACAAACCAGUGAGACCAACAGGCUUACAGUAAUGAUUUAAGUCUUUUUUGCAUAACAAACUUACAAAGUUUACUAAAUCCACUUCGAGGAAAAUAUUGUCAAUCAUUGUCAGGGUAGUAUAAGUUUAUGGCAAUAAAACCUCAAGGGUGGUAGAGGGAUGACUUCAGACUGGGAAACACUUGGGCAAGAUCUUUCCCUUCCCGACGCCACCCGCUGCUCUCCCACGCUGGCCUCCCUCUCCAGGACUUGCCUGACUAUUUCAGAAAGGUCAGGACACCAGCAGAAGACCAAGCCAGAGGUGGGCAUGGCUCAAACGGAUGCUCUCCCCAUCAACACAUCGUUUCUACACCGCAUCCUUGCACUGAUGAGGCCAGUCUGUGGGCCACACUGAAAACCUCAACCCCUCAUUAGCUUUCCCUCGGAUUCCCUCACUUUGCAAUAAAACUCUGAGCCAGGCUCAGCUCUGUGGAAUCUCAUUCAUCAGCAAUCACUCUAAGGCUAAGCAGGCCUCUGCCUGGGCUGCAUGUGGGCAGAUCAGAUGUCCGGUGGCUGCUGAUGUGGUGAGCACUGGCACAGAGCGAUGUGGUGGUGACUUGAGGUCUCAGGAAAGAACUGGGGGUUUCCAUUAUCCUGGGCUUCCUGGGUAAUGCAAUCUGAAAAUCAAUUCUCAUUAAACACAAGUGAUACUAAUACCUCUGACAGGUUACAUCUUAAAUGAUAAUUAAAAGCAUAUUUCCUGACACUUGGCUGCUAUGAAAUGCAGCCCUAUUUAUGCCACUGAGGAGGCCUCACAGUGAGGCCCUGUGGACAGCCCCCCCAGGAAGCGUCCGAGGUCCUGGAUUGUCACUCAUUAUUUUAAUCUGAUUUUCUUUACUCAAGUAAAAUAGAACCUGGCAUUGGUGCUUUCUUUCACCACUUCCACCAGUGGUCCUUAAAAAACAGUUAACGUUGUCAUAAGCCAAGGAAUGAAGACUUCAUCUUCCACUAACACAGUCUUUGGUUCUAGCCAUGGAUAGCGCUUAUUAAUAAGUGCAGCUGCAUCCCACUAAGUUUUAUAAACCUCUACAAUUCAUGAGAGCUGUGGCAGCUGAGACGUUACAUCCUUCUCUGAGUGUCAUGGUGGAAAGCAUCUCAGUGUCUGAGGCCGUGGAGUGGGAAGUGGAGCUGCCAGGGUCCUCAUGGACACAGACUUUCAGGAAAAUAUGAGUUUUUACAGUGGCCAGUCACAGUUCCUGAUUUGGCACUUUUGGUAUCAAAGUGUCUAAUUUUAUCUCAAAAAUUUUCUAUUGGGAAUAAUGGGAAGGUUCAAUGUCUCCUACAUUUGAACUGGACUUAUUGAUCAUUAAAACAGAUCAUUAAAACAGAGGAAUAGUCAACCAGACCCAAACAAGAAAAAACAUAUCCAUCCUAUGUUACAUUAGCUUCCCAGGGCUGCCAAAACAAAGUACCACAAACGCAGAGGCUGAAAAGAGCAGAAAUUGAUCAUCUCACAGUCUGGAGGCCGGAAGUCUGCAAUCGAGGUGUUGGCAAGGUUGUGCUUUCUCCGAGGCCUCUAGAGAGGAUCCUUCCUGCCUCCUCCAGCUCCUGGUUGCCCCAUGCAUUCCCUGGCUUGUGGCCACAUUGCUCCAGUCUCUGCCUUUCUUUUAACCUGGCUAUUUUCCCUGUGUUUUUUUCUUUUUCUUAAAAGACAUCAGUCAUCUUGGAUUAGGGGCCCACCCUACUCCAUUAUGACCUCAUGUUAACUAAUUACUUUUUUUUUUUUUUUAGAUGAAGUCUCACUCUGUCACCCAGGCUGGAGUGCAGUGGUACAAUCUCAGUUCACUGCAACCUCUGCCGCCCGGGUUCAAGCGAUUCUCCUGCCUCAGCCUCUUGAGUAGCUGGGAUUACAGGCGUGAGCCACCGCACCCGGCCAACUAAUUACAUUUUU